AUCCAAGCACAGCAGCUCCUUCAACUUGUGCAUGAUUCAUCAUAAAGCACAAUGCGGCCGUCAGAUCGGUACACAGAAAAAGUCACCCAGGUGAAUGG